GGAAAAGAACAACAGGGAUUGCCUCAGUAACGGCGAGUGAAGCGGCAAUAGCUCAAAUUUGAAAUCUGGAGCCUUCGGCUUCCGAGUUGUAAUUUGAAGAGGAUGUUUCGGUUGCGGCCACGGCCCAGUUCCUUGGAACAGGACGUCAUGGAGGGUGAGAAUCCCGUACCUGGCUGUUGGCUUGCUUCCGUGUGAAACUCCUUCGAAGAGUCGAGUUGUUUGGGAAUGCAGCUCAAAAUGGGUGGUAAAUUUCACUAAAGCUAAAUAUUGGCGGGAGACCGAUAGCGCACAAGUAGAGUGAUCGAAAGAUGAAAAGCACUUUGAAAAGAGAGUUAAACAGUACGUGAAAUUGUUGAAAGGGAAGCGCUUGCAAUCAGACUCCUUUCGGUUGAUCAACGUUCCUUCUGGUUCGUGCACUCUGCCGUUUGCGGGCCAGCAUCAGCUGGGGCGGUGGGACAAAGACUUCAGGAAUGUGGCUCUCUUCGGGGAGUGUUAUAGCCUGUUGUGCAUGCCACCAGUCCCGGCUGAGGUCCGCGGUUUAUCCUAGGAUGCUGGCUUAAUGGUUGUAAGCGACCCGUCUUGAAACACGGACCAAGGAGUCUAACAUCUAUGCGAGUCUUUGGGUGUCAAACCCAGGGCGUAAUGAAAGUGAACGGAGGUGGGAGUCCUCGGAUGCACCAUCGACCGAUCCUGAUGUUCUCGGAUGGAUUUGAGUAGGAGCAUAGCUGUUGGGACCCGAAAGAUGGUGAACUAUGCCUGAAUGGGUGAAGCCAGAGGAAACUCUGGUGGAGGCUCGCAGCGGUUCUGACGUGCAAAUCGAUCGUCAAAUUUGGGUAUAGGGGCGAAAGACUAAUCGAACCAUCUAGUAGCUGGUUCCUGCCGAAGUUUCCUCAGGAUAGCAGUAACGUUUUCAGUUUUAUGAGGUAAAGCGAAUGAUUAGAGGCCUUGUGGUUGAAACAACCUUAACCUAUUCUCAAACUUUAAUAUGUAAGAA
rnacentral:rRNA from 1 species